GCCGAUAUAGCACAACGGUAGUGCAGAUGCGUCGUAAGCAUAAGGUUGUAGGUUCAAAUCCUAUUAUCGGCU
rnacentral:tRNA from 1 species